AGUGAACGCUGGCGGUAGGCCUAACACAUGCAAGUCGAACGGCAGCACAGUAAGAGCUUGCUCUUACGGGUGGCGAGUGGCGGACGGGUGAGGAAUACAUCGGAAUCUACUUUUUCGUGGGGGAUAACGUCGGGAAACUUACGCUAAUACCGCAUACGACCUACGGGUGAAAGCAGGGGAUCUUCGGACCUUGCGCGAUUGAAUGAGCCGAUGUCGGAUUAGCUAGUUGGCGGGGUAAAGGCCCACCAAGGCGACGAUCCGUAGCUGGUCUGAGAGGAUGAUCAGCCACACUGGAACUGAGACACGGUCCAGACUCCUAGGGGAGGCAGCAGUGGGGAAUAUUGGACAAUGGGGGCAAGCCUGAUCCAGCCAUACCGCGUGGGUGAAGAAGGCCUUCGGGUUGUAAAGCCCUUUUGUUGGGAAAGAAAAGCAGCAGGUUAAUACCCCGCGGUUCUGACGGUACCCAAAGAAUAAGCACCGGCUAACUUCGUG
rnacentral:rRNA from 1 species